GAUGAACGCUGGCGGCGUGCCUAAUACAUGCAAGUCGAGCGGUAACACUUCGGGUGACGAGCGGCGGACGGCUGAGUAACACGUAGGAACGUACCCCAAACUGAGGGAUAAGCACCGGAAACGGUGUCUAAUACCGCAUGUGGUCUUCGGAUUAAAGCUUCGGCGGUUUGGGAACGGCCUGCGCAUGAUUAGCUUGUUGGUGAGGUAAUAGCUCACCAAGGCGACGAUCAUUAGCUGGUCUAAGAGGAUGAUCAGCCAGACUGGGACUGAGAACGGCCCAGACUCCUACGGGAGGCAGCAGUAGGGAGUCUUCCACAAUGGGCGAAAGCCUGAUGGAGCAACGCCGCGUGCAGGAUGAAGGCCUUCGGGUCGUAAACUGCUUUUAUUGGUGACGAUUAUGACGGUAGCCAAUGAAUAAGGAUCGGCUAACUCCGUGCCAGCAGCCGCCGCGG
rnacentral:rRNA from 1 species